rnacentral:lncRNA from 1 species
UAAUCACAGAGAAAAAGUUUUUCUCUAAUGAACAAAUUAGGAAAUCAAUAUGAUUUUGUCUCCUUACUUUUUUAUUCUUUCUUCCAUUAUACGGGGAGUGUUCCAUAUGAUUGCUUACUUCUUUCCUUAUAUGAAAUAUCAUUGAGAAAACACCAUUACUCACUCAAUUUUUUUUAAGUGUUUUAUGUGCUUUACAUCAUUAAGCUCUCUUUCAGAGUUUAAGAGGAGAAAAUACUUU